GGGUUUGUAGCUCAGUGGAUUAGAGCUCAUGACUCCGGAGCAUGAGGUCAAGGGUUCGAAUCCCUUCUAACCCU
rnacentral:tRNA from 1 species